GCUGGAUCACAUCCCCUGAGACCUGUGGGGUUCGUCCGUGUUAUUAUCAUUUCAUGUUGAUUUUUUCACAGUUUCUGAAUAUUUUCAAACUGUCUCAGUGGCCACUGAGGUCAAGAGGUCAAGAGGGUGGAUGAGGAGCCUGGGCCCAGGGAGGCCCACAGGCUCGGGGUGCAGCUGUCUGCGCUGGAGCAUCAGGGAGGCAGGUCUCCAGGUGAGUGAGCGGGGCCUGCUGCUGUCCCACAGUGGGGAGGAAAGGCCACCAGGGCGCAGCGGCUAGUCCUGGCUGGUGGCACACCAGAGACGCAAACGGGGACUCAGGCAUAUCCUGCCCUCGAAGGCUGUGCCAGUGGAAUGAGCUCACGACGGGACAGUCCCAUGCGUGGUGUGGUCCAUCAGAAUCUCACAAUAAUCAGCAAGAUCCGAAGCCCCUUUCCCAUGGCCCCUUGCGAGUGCGACGCACGGGCUUUGUGGGCAGUGUCUCGGGUCCUCCUAAGAGCAAACGCGUCCAGCCCCUGCCUGGAUGCUGCAGGACGUUCCAGUCAUUGCUUCUCUAAUUCUUCUCAUGAAUUGCAGACGCCGGAC
rnacentral:lncRNA from 1 species